CAGGUCAGUGACGGCGGCCAUGACAGUUCCAUCCGGGUAACAGCUUGUGUGCUGCGUGUUGGUGGUGAAGCAACUAGCUAAAGCGGAUGAAUAUGGAUUACCUUUGCAGUUAUGGCAGUGUGGAAGUGGUUCUUCCACUUUCAACAGAUAAUGGGCUGGCGUCCCAGUCUUGCCAUUCCAGUGAGAGACACAACUUUGGAACGUCCUUCCUUGUUCUUUUGUGCCAGAAUAGUGAUGAAGAGCCAUGCCAUGCCAUCCUUACAGGAGAUAAACCAUGUGAUUAAAAUCUGCAUAACACAACAACCAAGCAAUAGGAAAGAUGCACUCUAUUGUGCCUUAGUGAUGUCAUCUGCUGUCAAGCACACAUUUGUUUGGGAAUAUUAACACCUAUUUGAUGGGUGUAAUUAUCCACCUUUGAAUAGUAAUAACACAUGGGCCUGAUGUCAUGCAAGUCACACCUUUUUGUAUGUGAGAGUUGACGCAAUGUCAUGUGACUAUUGCAUAUGAGGUCACA